GCGCGCCUGCCAGGCCGGGGCCGGCGGCGGAACAGCUUGGGACCCGAAACGCCUCGGCUUUUCUGCGGACCCGCGCCCGGCCGCUGCCGCCGGACGCUUGAAAAGAGGCAGAGUCUUGCUUUGUUGUCCAGGCUGGUCUUGAACUUCUGAGCUCAAGUGAUCCUCCCGCCUUGGCCUCCCAAAGUGCUGAGACUACAGAGAGAGAAUGCUAACGAGCUGUGAAAUGACCAAAGAUCUGGCAGCAGAAGGGAAAAGAAAAAAUAAUGGAAUAUUUUCUGUCUACAAUUGGUUGAAUCUGUGGAUGUGGAAACUGCAGAUACAGAUGGAGAGCCGACUAUACUAGCUUUUUGUUUCAUUUUUCACUUCUGGUGUGUGUGUGUGUGUGUGUGUGUGUGUGUGUGUGUGUGUAUCUGUGUGUGUGUUUUAUUAAUCUCUGUGCCUGCAUGUUAGUUUCUUCCUCUUUAUUUGGAUUUUCACUAACAUUCUUUUCAGCUUCUUC
rnacentral:lncRNA from 10 species